UGGUGGAGUGAUUUGUCUGGUUAAUUCCGUUAACGAACGAGACCUUAACCUGCUAACUAGUCACGCCAACUCGCGUUGGCGGCCGACUUCUUAGAGGGACUGUGGAUGUUCAAUCCACGGAAGUUUGAGGCAAUAACA
rnacentral:rRNA from 1 species